GAUGAACGCUGGCGGCGUGCCUAAUACAUGCAAGUCGAGCGAACAGACGAGGAGCUUGCUCCUCUGACGUUAGCGGCGGACGGGUGAGUAACACGUGGAUAACCUACCUAUAAGACUGGGAUAACUUCGGGAAACCGGAGCUAAUACCGGAUAAUAUAUUGAACCGCAUGGUUCAAUAGUGAAAGACGGUUUUGCUGUCACUUAUCGAUGGAUCCGCGCCGCAUUAGCUAGUUGGUAAGGUAACGGCUUACCAAGGCAACGAUGCGUAGCCGACCUGAGAGGGUGAUAGGCCACACUGGAACUGAGACACGGUCCAGACUCCUAAGGGAGGCAGCAGUAGGGAAUCUUCCGCAAUGGGCGAAAGCCUGACGGAGCAACGCCGCGUGAGUGAUGAAGGUCUUCGGAUCGUAAAACUCUGUUAUUAGGGAAGAACAAAUGUGUAAGUAACUAUGCACGUCUUGACGGUACCUAAUCAGAAAGCCACGGCUAACUACGUG
rnacentral:rRNA from 1 species